GGCCCGAAGAAUGAAUGCUAGUGUUAGAGGGUUUCCGCCCUUUAGUGCUGAAGUUAACGCAUUAAGCACUCCGCCUGGGGAGUACGGCCGCAAGGCUGAAACUCAAAGGAAUUGACGGGGGCCCGCACAAGCGGUGGAGCAUGUGGUUUAAUUCGAAGCAACGCGAAGAACCUUACCAGGUCUUGACAUCCUCUGACAACCCUAGAGAUAGGGCUUCUCCUUCGGGAGCAGAGUGACAGGUGGUGCAUGGUUGUCGUCAGCUCGUGUCGUGAGAUGUUGGGUUAAGUCCCGCAACGAGCGCAACCCUUGAUCUUAGUUGCCAUCAUUUAGUUGGGCACUCUAAGGUGACUGCCGGUGACAAACCGGAGGAAGGUGGGGAUGACGUCAAAUCAUCAUGCCCCUUAUGACCUGGGCUACACACGUGCUACAAUGGACGGUACAAAGAGCUGCAAGACCGCGAGGUGGAGCUAAUCUCAUAAAACCGUUCUCAGUUCGGAUUGUAGGCUGCAACUCGCCUACAUGAAGCUGGAAUCGCUAGUAAUCGCGGAUCAUCAUGCCGCGGUGAAUACGUUCCCGGGCCUUGUACACACCGCCCGUCACACCACGAGAGUUUGUAACACCCGAAGUCCUUGGGGUAACCUUUUGGGACCCCGCCUCCUAGGUGGCAACUAAUGAUUGGGGGG
rnacentral:rRNA from 1 species